CUCUCCACUCCUUCCUCCACUCCCUCACAACCUUAUCCUCCACCCCACCCACGAAAAUGCUGCUCCCCUAGCUUCCAUGGCCGGCCAUGGCCAUGGAAAUCCUCCAAGAUGAAGCUCUCCUCCUCCCUCAAGCUCAUCCUCACCAUGAGAGCAUCUCUCUCUCUCUUUUCCCCUAACCCUAGCUGAUUUCCUCACCUCUUAUUCUUCCUCCAUUGCUAAGAUUGGAUCUUGAUGCAGGUGCAUGUUGGUCCAAGCAUGGAGAAUCUUGAGCUAUCCUCAGAUCUGAAGUUCAUGAGCAAACUCCAAAUCGAGUGAUUCAAAGUUCCACAGAUAGAUAUUGAAAAGAUCUACAACUUGGCGUUGGUCUCAUCCUCAAAUUCGUUACGGAUUUUCCACGAUCAAUAUCUGGUCAGAUCUGACUUUGUCGAAUUAAACCAGGAGCUUGGAAACGAGUUUUUGGAUGAAACCAGUUCGGGGAUAUUUGGUUUAUACCAUGGUGAUAACCGAGAGAGGCAAUUGCUAAGUUGUGAUGCACUCAUACCUUUACUAGAUGCGAACAAUUCCGGAGAAGAAGAAGAAGUGGAAUCGGAUGAGAAGAUUAUUUAUAUUGUUGGAAUUCUUAUAUUGAUGGAGUUGAAGAAGUACAUGGAAAAAUAAGCCAAGGCAAGCCAUCUUUUGAUCUCUGACUUGGUGUCUAGUUGGAUGUCAUUUGUUGAUGUCCAAAGCACCUAAAUUCUAUGUGUGUUAUUCUCUCUAUUUAUGUCAUCUAUGUGUGAUUGCAAGUGGGGUACUCCCUAUUGGUGAUACUCCACUAUUGUCUUUAUGAUUAUGGGAUGCAUGGUAUCAUGGCCGUGCUAUUCCUCUUGGUUAUCUUGUAUGAUCGACUUGAGCAUGUUCCAUCUCAAGAUAAUGACUUACACCACACCCACCACUUUUGUAGUA